AGGGAAUCUUCGGCAAUGGACGGAAGUCUGACCGAGCAACGCCGCGUGAGUGAAGAAGGUUUUCGGAUCGUAAAGCUCUGUUGUAAGAGAAGAACGAGUGUGAGAGUGGAAAGUUCACACUGUGACGGUAUCUUACCAGAAAGGGACGGCUAACUACGUGCCAGCAGCCGCGGUAAUACGUAGGUCCCGAGCGCUGUCCGGAUUUAUUGGGCGUAAAGCGAGCGCAGGCGGUUAGAUAAGUCUGAAGUUAAAGGCUGUGGCUUAACCAUAGUAGGCUUUGGAAACUGUUUAACUUGAGUGCAAGAGGGGAGAGUGGAAUUCCAUGUGUAGCGGUGAAAUGCGUGGAUAUAUGGAGGAACACCGGUGGCGAAAGCGGCUCUCUGGCUUGUAACUGACGCUGAGGCUCGAAAGCGUGGGGAGCAAACAGGAUUAGAUACCCUGGUAGUCCACGCCGUAAACGAUGAGUGCUAGGUGUUAGACCCUUUCCGGGGUUUAGUGCCGUAGCUAACGCAUUAAGCACUCCGCCUGGGGAGUACGACCGCAAGGUUG
rnacentral:rRNA from 1 species